rnacentral:rRNA from 1 species
UGGUUCAAUAGUGAAAGACGGUUUCGGCUGUCACUUAUAGAUGGACCCGCGCCGUAUUAGCUAGUUGGUAAGGUAACGGCUUACCAAGGCGACGAUACGUAGCCGACCUGAGAGGGUGAUCGGCCACACUGGAACUGAGACACGGUCCAGACUCCUACGGGAGGCAGCAGUAGGGAAUCUUCCGCAAUGGGCGAAAGCCUGACGGAGCAACGCCGCGUGAGUGAUGAAGGUCUUCGGAUCGUAAAACUCUGUUGUUAGGGAAGAACAAAUUUGUUAGUAACUGAACAAGUCUUGACGGUACCUAACCAGAAAGCCACGGCUAACUACGUGCCAGCAGCCGCGGUAAUACGUAGGUGGCAAGCGUUAUCCGGAAUUAUUGGGCGUAAAGCGCGCGUAGGCGGUUUCUUAAGUCUGAUGUGAAAGCCCACGGCUCAACCGUGGAGGGUCAUUGGAAACUGGGAAACUUGAGUGCAGAAGAGGAGAGUGGAAUUCCAUGUGUAGCGGUGAAAUGCGCAGAGAUAUGGAGGAACACCAGUGGCG